rnacentral:rRNA from 1 species
GGGUUGUGAGGUUAAGCGACUAAGCGUACACGGUGGAUGCCCUGGCAGUCAGAGGCGAUGAAGGGCGUGCUAAUCUGCGAUAAGCGCCGGUAAGGUGAUAUGAACCGUUAUAACCGGCGAUACCCGAAUGGGGAAACCCAGUGUGAUUCGUCACACUAUCAUUAACUGAAUCCAUAGGUUAAUGAGGCGAACCGGGGGAACUGAAACAUCUAAGUACCCCGAGGAAAAGAAAUCAACCGAGAUUCCCCCAGUAGCGGCGAGCGAACGGGGAGGAGCCCAGAGCCUGAAUCAGCAUGUGUGUUAGUGGAAGCGUCUGGAAAGGCGCGCGAUACAGGGUGACAGCCCCGUACACAAAAGCGCAUGUGCUGUGAGCUCGAUGAGUAGGGCGGGACACGUGGUAUCCUGUCUGAAUAUGGGGGGACCAUCCUCCAAGGCUAAAUACUCCUGACUGACCGAUAGUGAACCAGUACCGUGAGGGAAAGGCGAAAAGAACCCCGGCGAGGGGAGUGAAAAAGAACCUGAAACCGUGUACGUACAAGCAGUGGGAGCNNNNNNNNNNNNNNGGGCGUUAAGUUGCAGGGUAUAGACCCGAAACCCGGUGAUCUAGCCAUGGGCAGGUUGAAGGUUGGGUAACACUAACUGGAGGACCGAACCGACUAAUGUUGAAAAAUUAGCGGAUGACCUGUGGCUGGGGGUGAAAGGCCAAUCAAACCGGGAGAUAGCUGGUUCUCCCCGAAAGCUAUUUAGGUAGCGCCUCGUGAAUUCAUCUCCGGGGGUAGAGCACUGUUUCGGCUAGGGGGCCAUCCCGGCUUACCAACCCGAUGCAAACUGCGAAUACCGGAGAAUGUUAUCACGGGAGACACACGGCGGGUGCUAACGUCCGUCGUGAAGAGGGAAACAACCCAGACCGCCAGCUAAGGUCCCAAAGUCAUGGUUAAGUGGGAAACGAUGUGGGAAGGCCCAGACAGCCAGGAUGUUGGCUUAGAAGCAGCCAUCAUUUAAAGAAAGCGUAAUAGCUCACUGGUCGAGUCGGCCUGCGCGGAAGAUGUAACGGGGCUAAACCAUGCACCGAAGCUGCGGCAGCGACACUGUGUGUUGUUGGGUAGGGGAGCGUUCUGUAAGCCUGCGAAGGUGGCCUGUGAGGGUUGCUGGAGGUAUCAGAAGUGCGAAUGCUGACAUAAGUAACGAUAAAGCGGGUGAAAAGCCCGCUCGCCGGAAGACCAAGGGUUCCUGUCCAACGUUAAUCGGGGCAGGGUGAGUCGACCCCUAAGGCGAGGCCGAAAGGCGUAGUCGAUGGGAAACGGGUUAAUAUUCCCGUACUUGGUGUUACUGCGAAGGGGGGACGGAGAAGGCUAUGUUGGCCGGGCGACGGUUGUCCCGGUUUAAGCGUGUAGGUGUGUGUUCCAGGUAAAUCCGGUUCACUUUAACACUGAGGCGUGACGACGAGGCACUACGGUGCUGAAGCAACAAAUGCCCUGCUUCCAGGAAAAGCCUCUAAGCAUCAGGUAACAUCAAAUCGUACCCCAAACCGACACAGGUGGUCAGGUAGAGAAUACCAAGGCGCUUGAGAGAACUCGGGUGAAGGAACUAGGCAAAAUGGUGCCGUAACUUCGGGAGAAGGCACGCUGACACGUAGGUGAAGUGAUUUACUCAUGGAGCUGAAGUCAGUCGAAGAUACCAGCUGGCUGCAACUGUUUAUUAAAAACACAGCACUGUGCAAACACGAAAGUGGACGUAUACGGUGUGACGCCUGCCCGGUGCCGGAAGGUUAAUUGAUGGGGUCAGCGCAAGCGAAGCUCCUGAUCGAAGCCCCGGUAAACGGCGGCCGUAACUAUAACGGUCCUAAGGUAGCGAAAUUCCUUGUCGGGUAAGUUCCGACCUGCACGAAUGGCGUAAUGAUGGCCAGGCUGUCUCCACCCGAGACUCAGUGAAAUUGAACUCGCUGUGAAGAUGCAGUGUACCCGCGGCAAGACGGAAAGACCCCGUGAACCUUUACUAUAGCUUGACACUGAACAUUGAGCCUUGAUGUGUAGGAUAGGUGGGAGGCUUUGAAGUGUGGACGCCAGUCUGCAUGGAGCCGACCUUGAAAUACCACCCUUUAAUGUUUGAUGUUCUAACGUGGACCCGUUACCCGGGUUGCGGACAGUGUCUGGUGGGUAGUUUGACUGGGGCGGUCUCCUCCUAAAGAGUAACGGAGGAGCACGAAGGUUGGCUAAUCCUGGUCGGACAUCAGGAGGUUAGUGCAAUGGCAUAAGCCAGCUUGACUGCGAGCGUGACGGCGCGAGCAGGUGCGAAAGCAGGUCAUAGUGAUCCGGUGGUUCUGAAUGGAAGGGCCAUCGCUCAACGGAUAAAAGGUACUCCGGGGAUAACAGGCUGAUACCGCCCAAGAGUUCAUAUCGACGGCGGUGUUUGGCACCUCGAUGUCGGCUCAUCACAUCCUGGGGCUGAAGUAGGUCCCAAGGGUAUGGCUGUUCGCCAUUUAAAGUGGUACGCGAGCUGGGUUUAGAACGUCGUGAGACAGUUCGGUCCCUAUCUGCCGUGGGCGCUGGAGAACUGAGGGGGGCUGCUCCUAGUACGAGAGGACCGGAGUGGACGCAUCACUGGUGUUCGGGUUGUCAUGCCAAUGGCACUGCCCGGUAGCUAAAUGCGGAAGAGAUAAGUGCUGAAAGCAUCUAAGCACGAAACUUGCCCCGAGAUGAGUUCUCCCUGAGACUUAGAGUCUCCUGAAGGAACGUUGAAGACGACGACGUUGAUAGGCCGGGUGUGUAAGCGCAGCGAUGCGUUGAGCUAACCGGUACUAAUGAACCGUGAGGCUUAACCUUACAACGCCGAAG